AUGCCAUUGCCGCUGCCCGCCGUGGGCACGGUCCCCGCGUCGGCGAUAGCUCCGGUCGCCGCCGCCGCGGCAGCAGCACCCCUUAGGUACCGUCCCAUACGACUCCGCGCAUCUCCCUCGACGGUUUCCUCCCCUUCAACCUCUGCGAUCUCCAGCCCGCCGCCCCCGCCGUCUGCGAGGCAUUCCCGCAAACACCUGGCGGGCAGAGGCGACGCCCCGGCGAGGCCCUCAAAGGGCCGGGUGUUCUUCCUCGACGUCAACCCGAUAUGCUUCCGCGGAUCCCAGCGUAGCCUCAGCGCCUUCGCGCGCUGGCUCGCGCUCUUCUUCACGCACGUCAGCCUCCGCGACCCCGUUGUCGCUGUCUUUGAUGGGGCAGGCGGGAACGAGUACCGGAGGCGGCUGCUGCCGUCCUACAAAGCGCACCGGACUCGCGGCGUAGGCACCGGUGCCGAUUCACGCGUGGUUGACGUGCUCCGCGAGUGCAAUGUUCCGGUUGUGCAAGUCGAUGGAUACGAGGCAGAUGAUGUAGUGGCUACCUUGACAGAGCAAGUAUUACAGAAAGGUUAUAGAGUUGUCAUUGCCUCACCAGACAAGGACUUCAAGCAGUUGAUAUCUGAAGAUGUUCAGUUAGUUAUGCCCAUUCCUGAGAUUGGCCGAUGGUCCUUUUAUACGCUGAGGCAUUAUGUUGCACAAUACAAGUGCGAUCCAACUGUAGAUUUGAGCCUCAGAUGCUUUAUGGGUGAUGAAGCGGAUGGUGUUCCCGGAAUCCAGCACCUGGCUCCUGGUUUUGGUCGCAAGACUGCAGUGAAACUACUGAACAAACAUGGUUCAUUAGAAAACCUACUUAAUACAGCUGCAGUUAGAACGGUAGGCAAGGAGUAUGCCCAGGAUGUUCUAGUCAAGCAUGCAGAUUACUUGCGGAAAAACUAUGAAGUUCUCAGCUUGAAGAGGGAUGUAAAUGUUCAGCUUGAUGACAGAUGGUUAUCAGCGAGGGACACUUGUAAUGACACCAGUGUGUUAUCUGACUUCAUUCUUAAAUUCAGCAAAGGAUAG
rnacentral:rRNA from 1 species